CAACGCACGUUCUAAUGAACUCGCACACCGAAUCAGCGUAUUCGUCAAUGUUGUUGUCUGACGCAAUACGAAACAUGUCCCAGUCCACGUGAUGGAAGCAGUCUUGGAGUGUGGAGUGGUUAUUCUGGUUAUUCACAAGCACGUAGCCUAAACCUACUAUGUUCUGUAUAACUCAUCUAAAUGCACAAUUAUUAUUCACAAUCAGAAUCGGUUCCCAUUAUAGGAAGGGGUGUUCCUGUUCUAGACAUUCUAUUCCAAUGGGGGCACUACAGCAGACAGUAGCGUUUUCUAAUGACGAACCAAACAGAAAUGAAAUGUCUGUGAUUCCCUUUAGAAGUGUGCUUUCACUCAUGGUGCAGUUGCCAUAGAUACCCUUGUGGUAAGUGGCUCUGACAGCUGCAUCUACAGUGGGGCAAAAAAAGUAUUUAGUCAGCCACCAAUUGUGCAAGUUCUCCCACUUAAAAAUAUGAGAGAGGCCUGUAAUGCAGGGCAGGGUGCUGGACUUCAGGUUAGAUUUAGGCAUCCAACAUGUAGGUUCCUGGUUGUUCCAUGGUCAGAUACUGGUUAUUCACAAGCACGUAGCCUAAACCUACUAUGUUCUAUAUAACUCAUCUAAAUUCACAAUUAAAAGUAUGAUUAUGAUGAUGUAUGAAUGUAAUCAAAAUAAGUUCAAUAUGUGUUAUGUUCCCAUGUUCAUAAAGGGUGAACUUAUUUUGCUUGUCUUCAGUUACUGUUAGUGGAUACAGUGAGGAAACCGAAUAUGACCACAUCACCAGCAUAAAGUGACAUAAAACAGGCACCAAGUACAGACAGUGGGGAGGGGGCAGCCAGAAGUAGGGAAUUCCAAAUGCUGUUUGAGAAAAUGGGUUUAGUCUGAGGAACAACUCAGCUGCUCGAUUACUGAUGUGCCAGAGAAGAGAGGUUGGUGACCUGCAUUCCCGGUUGAAUGAGUCUUACCUUGCUCCUACUGAUCUGUGAGCCAUAGAUUAUAAAUUAGCAGCAGGGCUACAUCUCACUGUCAGUAGUGUUUCACCUUUAUGUCAACUAAUGAAUUUCCCAAAUAAUAGGACAAUAUUACUGCCUGGGGCUAUAUCUAAUCUAUUCACCAUUCUUUAAAACCCGUAUUUUUUUUUUCACUUUAAAUAACCGCUCACAAGUGGGCAUGGCAUUAAAUAGAUAGGCUAAAACACUGCGCAGCAGAUGGAUUACUUUAUUGCGGUGCGGGGUGAUGGUACGCGAUAACUCAGGUCAGAUAUCAUCGUCAACACUGGGAGAAUGGCGCGCUGGACGGCAGACAAAUUCAACAAACUCCAUGCCAUGGUUCGGUGGUCUGCGACCUUCAGAUCAGCAAUUUGUGCAAACCGGUCGAUGAGUGCAGGCUACGAACGUUUAGUUAUGGCCACAACAUGGCAGAAAAUCCAACUGUUCUACCAAUGAGUGCUAGACAAUAGAAGGGUGGGCCCCAAGCUGAUGGCUCAGACAGCCAGUCAACCUCAGCCUGUGCUCAUCGUUUACAACUUUGCCAUGGUCUGCAUGUCUGCCUGCAUGUUCUAUGAGAUGGCCAAGGUCUGCUGGUGGUUUUACUCCUCCAAAGUCAUCGAGCACAGUGAUAUUGUAAGUACACGUUGGGGAUGCUACUAUCCCGGGUUGAAGCAAAAACGGUGUAAGCCGCACCACUUGGACUAUAUUUACAUCUCUUCUAUCAAGACAUUUUAUGUGCUGUCUAUGUGACUAAUGUCUGUAAAUGUAGCUAACUCCUGAGGAUUUGUUUUCGGUAUUUCUUGUCAUACUCUUGUGUAACUGUCAUGUUAUUUACUCAAAUAUGACAUGUCUCUUCCUGGUGUUCUUCAUCCAGAGGAAGAAGAACAGUCACUUGACCUUCCUACAUGUCUACCGCCACGGCACCAUGAUCUUCAACUGGUGGGCUGGGGUCAAGUACGUGGCAGGAGUACGUCCCAUUCACAUCACUACAGCAGGGGCAGUGUUUAAUUUAACCGGUGAUAGACACAGACAAUAAUCUCCUGUCUGUAACAGUAUGACACUGCACAAUCUAUUUCUUGUAUCUGCUUCUUGCUCGGUUUUGGUUGGAAGAAUGAUUAAGCUUUUCAUACUUGUUCUUCUGGAGAUAUACAGUGCACACACCCACGCACUGAAAUGCACCUGACAUUUCAAUGAGUCUGGAACACAUGCAACCAUACCCACAUUGUCCUUGGAACUGUUUCCUGUCCCUGCUAUUUGAAAAAGACAUUUGCCACGGUGAAAGCAGCGGUGAUCAAACUAGACUAGCAAGGAUUGGAACAGAAUGGCAAAGAUUAAGACAAGCUUUUGGCACUGAGAUGCUCUAUAAUUUGUUUAAAAUGGCGGUGAGUUUGCAGAAAACAGCUGGCAGUGCAUUCUUGGUGCAGCAUUUGCCCUCUUUUUGGUUUAAAGAUAGUAAACACAGCCUGGCUAUUUUAUUUCACAUCGCGUGUCCUAAGACAGACAGAUGGGCGGUUAGUCACACUUUGAGAUUAAAUCAAGACGUUGCUAUUCAAUAUUAAAUCCCAGCUUUAGAAACAAGUUAAACACAACUGACCAGUGAAUAACUAUAAACAUACCACGGAAGGAAUAGCAAAUUCUCUGGGUAUUUUGUGUCUUCCUCCCUCCAGGCUUCCUUAUAGGCCUUAUCAACUCAUUGGUGCAUGUGGUGAUAUAGACUACAUGGCCAAAAGUAUUUGGACACCUGUUCGUCGAACAUCUCAUUCCAAAAUCAUGGGCAUUAAUAUGGAGUUGGUCCGCCAUUUGCUGCUAUAA